rnacentral:snoRNA from 16 species
AUUAUCCUAUACUUUAGAACCCAUAGUGAAAUGAUUUUACAACCUUCUUUAGAAGACGUCUGAUU